rnacentral:rRNA from 1 species
UACAGAGGUCCCGAGCGUUGUUCGGAUUCACUGGGCGUAAAGGGUGCGCAGGUGGGUUUGCAAGUUCGAUGUGAAAGCCCCGGGCUUAACCCGGGAAUGGCAUUGGAUACUGCAGAUCUGGAGGAUCGGAGGGGGGGCUGGAAUUCUUGGUGUAGCAGUGAAAUGCGUAGAUAUCAAGAGGAACACCAGUGGCGAAGGCGAGUCCCUGGACGAUACCUGACACUGAGGCACGAAAGCUAGGGGAGCAAACAGG